GCUGAGUGUCCCGUGGCCCAAAGCGUUUACUUUGAAAAAGUUAGACUGUUCAAAGCAGGCCUGAGCCACCUAGAUAUCUCAGCUAGGAAUGAUGGAAUAGAACCGCCAUUCUUUUUUGUUGGUUUUCAGGACUGAGGCCAUGAUUAAGAGGGAUGGCUGGGGGCAUUCGUAUUGUGCCACUAGAGGUGAAAUUCUUGGACUGGUGCAGUUCGGACCAGAGCUAAAGCAUUUGCCAAGAAUGUUUUCAUUAACCAAGAACGAAAGUCGGAGUUUCGAAGACGAUCAGAUACCGUCGUUGUUCCGACCCUCACCCGGCCCGGACAUGGACAGGAUUGACAGAUUGAUAGGUCUUUCUUGAUUCCAUGGGUGGUGGUGCAUGGCCUUAGUUGGUGGAGUGAUUUGUCUGGUUAAUUCCGAUAAUGAAGGAGACUCUGGCAUGCUAACUAGUUACGCGACCCCCAAGCGGUCAGCAUCCCCCAACUUCUUAGAGGGAUAAGUGGCAUUUAGCCACCCGAGAUUGAGAAAUAACACGUCUGUGAUGCCCUUAGAUGUCUGGGGCUGCACGCACGCUACAGUGACUGGCUCAGCGUGUGCCUACCCUACGUGGCAGACGCGGGUAACCUGUUGAACACCAUUGGUGAUGGUGAUCGGGGAUUGCAAUUAUUCCCCAUGAAUGACGAAUUCCCAGUAAGUGUGGGUCAUAGGCUUGCGUGAAGUCCCUACCCUUUGUACACACUGCCAGUCGCUACUACUGAUUGGAUGGUUUAGUGAGGCCCUUGGAUCGGCCCCGCCGGGUCAGCCCACUGCCCUGGUGGAGCACUGAGAAGACAGUCGAACUUGACUAUCUAGAGGAAGUAAAAGUCAUAACAAAAUUUCCAUAGUUGAACCUGUCGAGGGAUCAUUAACGGAG
rnacentral:lncRNA from 1 species